GAGUACCUUGCUUGAGCCGAGGGCUGGGUCUUCUCUUGCUGAGUGACUUGAAGACAGGCUUGUACAUUUUUAACAGCUUCCUCAUUGGCUGAUGAACUCAUCUGGUGUUCCUAAGACCAACACCUUCAGUCCCAUUUCACAAAGUCCAAAUCACAAAGGAGGAAACUAUUUAUUUGAUGAAUGCUGUAUUGAAGAGACUGGGAUCACUGUCUGGAACCACAGGCCGCCCUCUGAAGGCUGGAGAGGUGGUGACAGCUGAACAAAUGAUGGCGCUACGAGUCCAUGGGUUAGGUUACCUGGGCAUGGGAAUCCCCAUAUAGCCAAUGCCUUCUCGGGUAUUAAGUGUCAGAUAAACACAGCUCCUCAACUGCUA
rnacentral:lncRNA from 1 species